GAGUGAAGCGGCACAGCUCAAAUUUGAAAUCUGGCCGCAAGGCCCGAGUUGUAAUUUGUAGAGGAUGCUUUGGGCGCGGCGCCUUCCGAGUUCCCUGGAACGGGACGCCAUAGAGGGUGAGAGCCCCGUCUGGUUGGAUGCCUAGCCUAUGUAAAGCUCCUUCGACGAGUCGAGUAGUUUGGGAAUGCUGCUCAAAAUGGGAGGUAUAUGUCUUCUAAAGCUAAAUACUGGCCAGAGACCGAUAGCGCACAAGUAGAGUGAUCGAAAGAUGAAAAGCACUUUGAAAAGAGGGUUAAAUAGUACGUGAAAUUGUUGAAAGGGAAGCGCUGGCAACCAGACUUGCGUGGCGGGGUUCCCCCUGGCUUCUGCCUGGGUUACUCCCCGUUGUCCAGGCCAACAUCGGUUUUGGUGGUCAAUUAAAGGCCUUGGGAAUGUAUCUUUCCUCGGAAAGACUUAUAGCCCAGGGUGUCAUGUGGCCUACCGGGACCGAGGAACGCGCUUCGGCUCGGAUGUUGGCGUAAUGGUUGUCAGCGGCCCGUCUUGAAACACGGACCAAGGAGUCUAACAUCUAUGCGAGUGUUAGGGUGUCAAACCCUUACGCGGAAUGAAAGUGAACGGAGGU
rnacentral:rRNA from 1 species